rnacentral:other from 1 species
GUCUCCCUGUUGUGUUCGAGUAAAAAUUAAGUUUUUUGAGCCAACAGUUUGUAAAAGGGGUUGAAGAAUCAGCUGCGGUGUGCAUGCCUUCUUAAUUGAUAAGGAAGCCUAAAGUGGUUUACCGAUACCCCACCUGUCCUUGACAGGUUCAAAAAAUAGUUUUUCCGCGGCAUAAACGGGGAGGCU